GAUGAAGAACGCAGUGAAAUGCGAUAAGUAAUGUGAAUUGCAGAAUUCAGUGAAUCAUCGAAUAUUUGAACGCACAUUGCGCCCCUUGGUAUUCCGAGGGGCAUGCCUGUUCGAGCGUCAUUAUAACCCCUCAAGCUCAGCUUGGUGUUGGGGCCUGCUGCACUGGCAGCCCUUAAAAUCAGUGGCGGCGCCAUCUGGCUCUAAGCGUAGUAAUUCUUCUCGCUAUGGAGUCCUGGUGGAUGCUUGCCAUCAACCCCCAAUUUUUCUAUGGUUGACCUCGGAUCAGGUAGGGAUACCCGCUGAACUUAAGCAUAUCAAUAAGCGGAGGA
rnacentral:misc_RNA from 1 species